rnacentral:rRNA from 1 species
AGUGAACGCUGGCGGUAGGCCUAACACAUGCAAGUCGAACGGCAGCACAGUAAGAGCUUGCUCUUACGGGUGGCGAGUGGCGGACGGGUGAGGAAUACAUCGGAAUCUACUUUUUCGUGGGGGAUAACGUAGGGAAACUUACGCUAAUACCGCAUACGACCUACGGGUGAAAGCAGGGGAUCUUCGGACCUUGCGCGAUUGAAUGAGCCGAUGUCGGAUUAGCUAGUUGGCGGGGUAAAGGCCCACCAAGGCGACGAUCCGUAGCUGGUCUGAGAGGAUGAUCCGCCACCCUGGAACUGAGACACGGUCCAGACUCCUACGGGAGGCAGCAGUGGGGAAUAUUGGGCAAUGGGCGCAAGCCUGAUCCAGCCCUACCGCGUGGGUGAAGAAGGCCUUCGGGUUGUAAAGCCCUUUUGUUGGGAAAGAAAAGCAGCAGGUUAAUACCCCGCUGUUCUGACGGUACCCAAAGAAUAAGCACCGGCUAACUUCGUG